rnacentral:rRNA from 1 species
GACGAACGCUGGCGGCGUGCUUAACACAUGCAAGUCGAACGGAAAGGCCCUGCUUUUGUGGGGUGCUCGAGUGGCGAACGGGUGAGUAACACGUGAGUAACCUGCCCUUGACUUUGGGAUAACUUCAGGAAACUGGGGCUAAUACCGGAUAGGAGCUCCUGCUGCUUGGUGGGGGUUGGAAAGUUUCGGCGGUUGGGGAUGGACUCGCGGCUUAUCAGCUUGUUGGUGGGGUAGUGGCUUACCAAGGCUUUGACGGGUAGCCGGCCUGAGAGGGUGACCGGCCACAUUGGGACUGAGAUACGGCCCAGACUCCUACGGGAGGCAGCAGUGGGGAAUAUUGCACAAUGGGCGGAAGCCGGAUGCAGCAACGCCGCGUGCGGGAUGACGGCCUUCGGGUUGUAAACCGCUUUCGCCUGUGACGAAGCGUGAGUGACGGUAAUGGGUAAAGAAGCACCGGCUAACUACGUG